UUUGGUGCUCGAAAGAGAACCUGCACACAGGUGCUGCAUGGCUGUCGUCAGCUCGUGUCGUGAGAUGUUGGGUUAAGUCCCGCAACGAGCGCAACCCUUGCCAUUAGUUGCUACAUUCAGUUGAGCACUCUAAUGGGACUGCCGGUGACAAACCGGAGGAAGGUGGGGAUGACGUCAAGUCCUCAUGGCCCUUAUAGGUGGGGCUACACACGUCAUACAAUGGCUGGUACAAAGGGUUGCCAACCCGCGAGGGGGAGCUAAUCCCAUAAAGCCAGUCGUAGUCCGGAUCGCAGUCUGCAACUCGACUGCGUGAAGUCGGAAUCGCUAGUAAUCGUGGAUCAGAAUGUCACGGUGAAUACGUUCCCGGGUCUUGUACACACCGCCCGUCACACCAUGGGAGCGGGUCUCGCCAGAAGUAGGUAGCC
rnacentral:rRNA from 1 species